rnacentral:rRNA from 1 species
UACGUAGGGUGCGAGCGUUAAUCGGAAUUACUGGGCGUAAAGCGUGCGCAGGCGGUCUGUUAAGACAGAUGUGAAAUCCCCGGGCUUAACCUGGGAACUGCAUUUGUGACUGGCAGGCUAGAGUAUGGCAGAGGGGGGUAGAAUUCCACGUGUAGCAGUGAAAUGCGUAGAGAUGUGGAGGAAUACCGAUGGCGAAGGCAGCCCCCUGGGAUAACACUGACGCUCAUGCACGAAAGCGUGGGGAGCAAACAGG